rnacentral:rRNA from 1 species
UGAAUACAUAGGUGAUGAGAAGGCAGACCCGGUGAACUGAAACAUCUAAGUAGCCGGAGGAAGAGAAAACAAUAGUGAUUCCGUCAGUAGCGGCGAGCGAACGCGGAAGAGCCUAAACCGUAGGAUUUAUCCUACGGGGUUGUGGGGCGUUUCAUAUAGGAGUUACAAAAGACAGAUGUAGGUGAACAGUUUGGGAAGACUGACCAAAGAGCGUGAUA